UAGGAGGCGGGAGAGGCAAGCGGUACUCAGUGGGUAGGGGUAAAAUCCUUUGAUCCAUUGAAGACCACCAGUGGCGAAGGCGGCUUGCCAGAACGCGCUCGACGGCGAGGGAUGAAAGCUGGGGGAGCAAACCGGAUUAGAUACCCGGGUAGUCCCAGCUGUAAACGAUG
rnacentral:rRNA from 1 species